rnacentral:rRNA from 1 species
GACGAACGCUGGCGGCGUGCUUAACACAUGCAAGUCGAACGGAAAGGCCCUGCUUUUGUGGGGUGCUCGAGUGGCGAACGGGUGAGUAACACGUGAGUAACCUGCCCUUGACUUUGGGAUAACUUCAGGAAACUGGGGCUAAUACCGGAUAGGGGCUCCUGCUGCAUGGUGGGGGUUGGAAAGUUUCGGCGGUUGGGGAUGGACUCGCGGCUUAUCAGCUUGUUGGUGGGGUAGUGGCUUACCAAGGCUUUGACGGGUAGCCGGCCUGAGAGGGUGACCGGCCACAUUGGGACUGAGAUACGGCCCAGACUCCUACGGGAGGCAGCAGUGGGGAAUAUUGCACAAUGGGCGGAAGCCUGAUGCAGCAACGCCGCGUGCGGGAUGACGGCCUUCGGGUUGUAAACCGCUUUCGCCUGUGACGAAGCGUGAGUGACGAUAAUGGGUAAAGAAGCACCGGCUAACUACGUG